rnacentral:rRNA from 1 species
GACGAACGCUGGCGGCGUGCUUAACACAUGCAAGUCGAACGAUGAAGCUGGAGCUUGCUCCGGUGGAUUAGUGGCGAACGGGUGAGUAACACGUGAGUGAUCUGCCCUUGACUCUGGGAUAACUGCGGGAAACUGUAGCUAAUACCGGAUACGACACCUUCGGGCAUCCGAUGGGUGUGGAAAGAAUUUCGGUCAAGGAUGAACUCGCGGCCUAUCAGCUAGUUGGUGAGGUAAUGGCUCACCAAGGCGACGACGGGUAGCCGGCCUGAGAGGGUGACCGGCCACACUGGGACUGAGACACGGCCCAGACUCCUACGGGAGGCAGCAGUGGGGAAUAUUGCACAAUGGGCGAAAGCCUGAUGCAGCAACGCCGCGUGAGGGAUGAAGGCCUUCGGGUUGUAAACCUCUUUUAGUUGGGAAGAAGCGAAAGUGACGGUACCAACAGAAAAAGCACCGGCCAACUACGUGCCAGCCGCCGCAGUAA